AUAUUCUUUUGUUCUCUUCCCCACAUUAUCUGUUUGUUGAUGGCCAUGGAUGCGCAGAACAAACUCCUUUUGGUAUCCAUUCCUAAUAACUUAGUUGUGUCAUUUGCUGCAUUAAUACUGUGUGUUUAGGGAUUCAAGAUACAUAGUGAGCAGACUGCAAGUUACAAAUUUUAAUUUCAAGAAGCAUUCAAGAUGCUUGUUAGCACUUGAAGGCAGAUGAGUACUUAGGAAUUGCUCGAGUGGGGCAGUAACAGAAGGGAGCGAUGAUUGGUAGGCUGGGGGAAAGGUAUUGUGGUAUAGACAGCAUGGGAAACAAAAGCCUCCUGUUUCCUCGGCUGUUGUAAGAAGUUCAAACAAAUCUGGCUGCUGGGGAUUUUUUGGAACAAAAGUUGGGAACAAGAUGUAGCAAAACUGAAAUUCUGAGCGUGAAACUUCAAAGUCGUUUCUAUGAGGAAUAGGUACAGAGAGUGCCAGGCUCCUACAGGAACUGAGACAGGCCCUGCCUGAGUAGACUGCUAUUACAGAUGGUCACCUAUACUGUUUCUCAGUUCUGUGAGUGGGUGGGGAAAAUGUUGCUGUCCAUCCAUUCUACAGUUUGGUCAUCAGUGCCUUGCCAAAACAGCCAAGAAUGAGCAUGCGGAUCAGGAAAACCCAUCAGAUUAUUAGGUAGUGUUUCUUCUAGUCCAAGUGCUAUUUUAGAUGCAUUAGAUACAUUGUCUCAAAUUUAUUCAGUUUUUAACUUCCAUAUUUUCAUCCAGAUUCAAAAUUAGCUACAUUGAGUCAUCCACAGGCAUAUGAAUAGGUACU